CACACCAGUCGGGACAGACACUACAGUGCGCUUUACGUUAAGUCGUAUAAUUUGAUCAAAGGAUUAACGGAUUAUAUGCAAACACACGUAACGGUCACUUGAUGAGGUAUAUACCUGGCUGACUUAACGCUACAGGUACUUAUCUAUGAAUGUGUUGCCGCAUUCUGUAUAGUGAAUGGACUUUACUGACCACGUUUCUGUGUAGAGAAAAUACUACAGUUAGACAUUGUUUGGUAAAGUAUAACUACAGUUGGCAGGAAAACUGUAAUCAUAGGAUAAUUAUAGACUGAUGUAGUGAAACAUGAUUCCCAAUACUGAUAUUGUGAAAGGCCUCCCGUCGCCCGAUGGAAAGAGUCGUAAUCCAAAACUUACUAUCACAAUCGACAAAGGUCCUCAGCAGAUCGUAAAACCGAAGAGUAUCUCUCCCCGGAAUAAGACCGCCAGCGUGGGAAUUUUCCCUCCCAUCGCCGAAGAACAUCUUCUCAAAAAAUCCCAACAGGCCUAUCCAAUAUCACCGAAAACAGUAAACCAUGAAGCUGGCACUGUAACCUUCAAACAGGACCAUCAAACAAUCUGUCCGAUAACGACCGUACGAAGGUCGUCAAUAACCAAUGGAGGGGGUCUAGUAAAAAAAGCAUCAUUUAAAGGGAUGGGGAAGUUCUCGACUGUUCUUAAAGCUAAGAUGGCUUUUAAAAGUCAUAACAAGAGGCCGCGGGAUAAUCCUGUGGAUGAUGAAGAGGAGGAUUUGAUCAUAGAACUACCAAAGGAACCACGCUUCUCCACAAUGAUGUCACCAGAGGCGCAGUACGCCAUGAUGAAAGGAUAUGAGGACACUAUAUAUAACUGCUUAUGUAAAAAGUACCCAGAGCAGAGGCCUUCCCUACGAAGAAACAGAACACCUAUUUCUAAUGUCGAUCUACGGAACAAAGAAGAUACACGGAAGGUGAUAAAUAAGGAAGACCAGGACUCAAAUCAAGAAUUACCAUUAAGACAUGACUCUGAACGCGAGGAGAGUGAUACUGCUUCUCAAGGCUCCUCUAACGAUUCUCCUUUAACAGGUCCGUCGUUUAAUUUCUCGCCUCCUCGUUCAGCAAAUAUGUCGAGACGGGCGUCUAUGCCCGUACCAUCAAUUAGUCUUAAUAAGAUUGGUCGGUCUAGAAGUCUUGCUCCUUCAGGAACCGUGUCUGUCGACUCGACCUUGUCUCGUGCGAACAGUUUACCUAGUGUUAUCCCACGGGAAAAACAGCUAGUUUUGUCGUACCGCCUCCAAAGUGCUAUGGACAUUUUAGACACAGUUCGGGAUGGUCUGGGGUACAAUUACACGUCCCCGAGGAUCAGGGCUAAUACAUCUAAGGGUAUCAAGCCGGUUUUGGACUAUAACAAGUGGGCUGGCGUCUGGGGACAGGAAUUCAACGUGCAUGACCCACUUAGCUAGACUGUUUCACAAAAAAAGUAAGCUUUGAUACUUGUAGGCUUGACUCUUUUGCCCAAACAAACAAAAUGAUGUGUAUAUACCAGAUGAAUAGAACACUAUACCGUUUCAACAUUUUCUGGGGGUAGGCAGAGACGAACAAAUUCAUCUUGAUGGAAUCUGCGCAGCAGUUACUGGUGUAUUGAGGGAAUCCCCAGCUGACAGUUACCAUCAUAAUGGAUAGACGAAUUCUGACUAACUAAUAGUGUAUUUGAGAGCCGGUUACAACUAUCACUUUCUCACAUAUUAAGGAGAAAAAUCCUAACAAAUACAACUUGUUGAUAGGAGUUAAAAGAUUGACUGUAAUAUACCAGUACCAAACGGGUUCAAAAGGACAUUGGCAAUCGGAAACUACACAUUGCUCUGUGAAAUUAUUGACUUGUAUGACGCUAUUGCGUCGAUUGAUUAAUCUUUUGUGUUUUACUGUCUCUUUGGAAAUAAACAUAAACGUU